UAAUAGUUCCAGCACUGCUCAAAGAUCGU
rnacentral:piRNA from 1 species